rnacentral:lncRNA from 1 species
AAGAAUAGUGAGCAUUUCAUGUAGCUUUUUUUGUGUUUCUCUUCUGAAGUAAAGUAGACUUGACGUAAUAUAUUGUUUUAUAAAUAAAAAGUUACUUUUUAAUCAAACACACUAUAGAUCAUAAAAGUAGCCAUUUAAGAAAUAUGUAAAGCUUUUUGGGUGUAAUCUUUUGUGCAUUCUAGAGGAAAAUCUUGUUCUGCUCUGUUA